GUGGCAGUGUGUGAUGUGGGUGUUGUAUUUCCAGUGCCCACCAGGUGGCAGUGUGACGGGGUGUUGUGUUUCCAGUGCCCACCAGGUGGCAGUGUGACGGGGUGUUGUGUUUCCAGUGCCCACCAGGUGGCAGUGUGACGAGGUGUUGUAUUUCCAGUGCCCACCAGGUGGCAGUGUGACGGGGUGUUGUGUUUCCAGUGCCCACCAGGUGGCAGUGUGACGGGGUGUUGUAUUUCCAGUGCCACCAGGUGGCAGUGUGACGGGGUGUUGUAUUUCCAGUGCCCACCAGGUGGCAGUGUGACGGGGUGUUGUGUUUCCAGUGCCCACCAGGUGGCAGUGUGUGAUGUGGGUGUUGUGUUUCCAGUGCCCACCAGGUGGCAGUGUGUGAUGUGGGUGUUGUAUUUUAUCCGUUUUAGACAGAUUUAUAUCCGUCUUCGUUCAAAGACUCAAUCAUUUUGAUGCUGCAUGUAUUGCCAGUAUACGUUGAUUUUAAUUAUGUCAUGUUUUACCCCCUACACCACUUUCAAUAACAUUGUAGAACAGUCCUGUAUGCCAAAUAAAAUCAAAUGCUGUUUGGAAGUCGAUAAAGCAAGAGAGCAUUUUGGUAAUAUUGUGGUGUGUAAAUAUGAUUGGUCGUGCUCUGUAGACAUUGUGCUUAUUAAGGAAGUUUAUAACUCUUACAAUCUUUAUUAAAAAAAAAUUUAAACACCCCUUUUUCGUGGUGUCCAAUUGGU
rnacentral:lncRNA from 1 species